rnacentral:rRNA from 1 species
ACGGCUCAGUAACACGUGGACAAUCUGCCCUUGGGUCUGGGAUAACUCCGGGAAACUGGAGAUAAUACCAGAUAGGUCAUAGAUGCUGGAAUGCUCUAUGGCCCAAAGCUCCGGCGCCCAAGGAUGAGUCUGCGGCCUAUCAGGUUGUAGUGGGCGUAAUGGACCCACUAGCCUACGACGGGUACGGGUUGUGAGAGCAAGAGCCCGGAGAUGGAUUCUGAGACAUGAAUCCAGGCCCUACGGGGCGCAGCAGGCGCGAAACCUUUACAAUGCGCGCAAGCGCGAUAAGGGGACCUCGAGUGUUCCUACCUAGUAGGAACUGUCCAGUUGUCUAAAAAACAACUGUUAGCAAGAGCCGGGCAAGACCGGUGCCAGCCGCCGCGGUAACACCGGCGGCUCGAGUGGUGACCGCUUUUAUUGGGUCUAAAGGGUCUGUAGCCGGUCUAACAAGUUCUUUGGAAAAUCUGGUCGCUUAACGAUCAGGCUGCUAGGGGAUACUGUUAGACUUGGGACCGGGAGAGGCUAGAGGUACUUUAGGGGUAGGGGUGAAAUCCUGUGAUCCUUAAAGGACCACCAGUGGCGAAGGCGUCUAGCUAGAACGGAUCCGACGGUGAGGGACGAAAGCUGGGGGCACGAACCGGAUUAGAUACCCGGGUAGUCCCAGCCGUAAACGAUGCGAGCUAGGUGUCAGUUUUACUGCGAGUAAAAUUGGUGCCAUAGGGAAGCCGUGAAGCUCGCCACCUGGGAAGUACGGNCGCAAGGCUGAAACUUAAAGGAAUUGGCGGGGGAGCACUACAACGGGUGGAGCCUGCGGUUUAAUUGG